CGUGCACGCUGGCGGUAGGCCUAACACAUGCAAGUCGAACGGCAGCACAGUAAGAGCUUGCUCUUACGGGUUGCGAGUGGCGGACGGGUGAGGAAUACAUCGGAAUCUACUUUUUCGUGGGGGAUAACGUAGGGAAACUUACGCUAAUACCGCAUACGACCUACGGGUGAAAGCAGGGGAUCUUCGGACCUUGCGCGAUUGAAUGAGCCGAUGUCGGAUUAGCUAGUUGGCGGGGUAAAGGCCCACCAAGGCGACGAUCCGUAGCUGGUCUGAGAGGAUGAUCGGCCACACUGGAACUGAGACACGGUCCAGACGCCUACGGGAGGCAGCAGUGGGGAAUAUUGGACAAUGGGCGCAAGCCUGAUCCAGCCAUACCGCGUGGGUGAAGAAGGCGUUCGGGUUGUAAAGCCCUUUUGUUGGGAAAGAAAAGCAGCAGGUUAAUACCCCGCUGUUCUGACGGUACCCAAAGAAUAAGCACCGGCUAACUUCGUG
rnacentral:rRNA from 1 species